GUGCUAAGCACCAGUGACAUUCUGAGGUCAUGGCACGAAUCACAGUGGGGCCUUGCCCGGGUCAGCAGCGCCCAGAGUCAGGGUCCUCCGCUGCCUGAGGCGUCAACAUGCCUGCCUGCAAUGUGUUUGUGCACGUGCGUGCACAUGUGUAUGUGGGUAAACACGUCUGUGCACGUGUGUGCUGCUUCUCUGGCCAGGCCCGGCUGCCCCACUCAUGUGUGCACCCAGUUCCUCAUCACUGUCACCCCCGAGGCCCAGGGCCAGCAUCAGAGCAUCCAUGGCUGCUCCCUAACCCCAGCCCUCCCCGCCCAGGGUGGUCCUGGGAUACACAUAGCGGUGGAGGGAAGUGACUGCUGCUAUUGGAUCUCAGAAUACAAAAGGCCUAGGGGAUGCCGAAUUCCAGGGUCCAGAAAGAGCUUGGGAUAAAAAGAAACUUCAAGGGGACGGCUUUGACCUGGGCUGAGUCUACCUGUGCCAUCCAACUGGAGUCUCAAGUCCUGAGGCAGGACGUCCAGAUGCCCCAGUGCAGGGUCCUCCUGAUCAACACCUGCUCCCCUGUACUCAUUAGCAACCUCACCCACCCUACUCUCAAAGCACACUUGGCUCUCGUAUCCAGGAGCUCUGCAUCUGUAGAUUCAGCAACAGCAGAUGGAAAAUAUUCAGAAAAUAAAUUGGACGGUUAUGUUUCUAUUGAACAUGUGCAGA
rnacentral:lncRNA from 1 species